AUUGAACGCUGGCGGCAGGCCUAACACAUGCAAGUCGAGCGGUAGCACAGGGAGCUUGCUCCUGGGUGACGAGCGGCGGACGGGUGAGUAAUGUCUGGGAAACUGCCUGAGGGAGGGGGAUAACUACUGGAAACGGUAGCUAAUACCGCAUAACGUCGCAAGACCAAAGAGGGGGACCUUCGGGCAUCUUGCCAUCAGAUGUGCCCAGAUGGGAUUAGCUAGUAGGUGGGGUAAGGGCUCACCUAGGCGACGAUCCCUAGCCGGUCUGAGAGGAUGACCAGCCACACUGGAACUGAGACACGGUCCAGACUCCUACGGGAGGCAGCAGUGGGGAAUAUUGCACAAUGGGCGCAAGCCUGAUGCAGCCAUGCCGCGUGUAUGAAGAAGGCCUUCGGGUUGUAAAGUACUUUCAGCGGGGAGGAAGGCGAUAAGGUUAAUAACCUUGUCGAUUGACGUUACCCGCAGAAGAAGCACCGGCUAACUCCGUGCCAGCAGCCGCAGUAA
rnacentral:rRNA from 1 species